AUAAAGGCCCUUUUCAGGGCCCUCAAACUUUCAUUAAAAGAGCUA
rfam:Erinaceus europaeus unplaced genomic scaffold scaffold00740, whole genome shotgun sequence